rnacentral:tRNA from 1 species
GCGCCUGUAGCUCAGCUGGUUAGAGCACCACCUUGACAUGGUGGGGGUCGGUGGUUCGAAUCCACUCAGACGCACCA